UAUCGGAUUGAUACUAAGCCAUGCGAGUCAUUGUAGCAAUACAAGGCAUACGGCUCAGUAACGCGUAGUCAACCUAACCUAUGGACGGGAAUAACCUCGGGAAACUGAGAAUAAUGCCCGAUAGAACAUUAUGCCUGGAAUGGUUUAUGUUCCAAAUGAUUUAUCGCCGUAGGAUGGGACUGCGGCCUAUCAGUUUGUUGGUGAGGUAAUGGCCCACCAAGACUAUUACAGGUACGGGCUCUGAGAGGAGUAGCCCGGAGAUGGGUACUGAGACACGGACCCAGGCCCUAUGGGGCGCAGCAGGCGAGAAAACUUUGCAAUGUGCGAAAGCACGACAAGGUUAAUCCGAGUGGUUUCUGCUAAAGGAACCUUUUGUCAGUCCUAGAAACACUGAUGAAUAAGGGGUGGGCAAGUUCUGGUGUCAGCCGCCGCGGUAAAACCAGCACCUCAAGUGGUCAGGAUGAUUAUUGGGCCUAAAGCAUCCGUAGCCGGCUCUGUAAGUUUUCGGUUAAAUCUGUACGCUCAACGUACAGGCUGCCGGGAAUACUGCAAAGCUAGGGAGUGGGAGAGGUAGACGGUACUCGGUAGGAAGGGGUAAAAUCCUUUGAUCUAUUGAUGACCACCUGUGGCGAAGGCGGUCUACCAGAACACGUCCGACGGUGAGGGAUGAAAGCUGGGGGAGCAAACCGGAUUAGAUACCCGGAUAGUCCCAGCUGUAAACCAUGCAAACUCAGUGAUGCAUUGGCUUGUGGCCAAUGCAGUGCUGCAGGGAAGCCGUUAAGUUUGCCGCCUGGGAAGUACGUACGCAAGUAUGAAACUUAAAGGAAUUGGCGGGGGAGCACCACAAGGGGUGAAGCCUGCGGUUCAAUUGGAUUC
rnacentral:rRNA from 1 species